rnacentral:rRNA from 1 species
GCUUAUCACCAUUCCAGAUUGAAUAUACCCGAUCUCGUCUGAUCUCGGAAGUCAAGCAAUCUCGGGCUUGGUUAGUACUUGGAUGAUGGGUGACCGCUUGGGAAUAUCAAGUGUGAUAAGCA